GGAGUGAAGCAGGGCAGAGUGGAGAGGGAGAGCAGCUGCAGAGUGGGGGUGGGCAUCAGCCGGAAGAGCCUCCCCGUCCUGGCCUGGCCACACCUCUGGCACUGCAACCUGGAGGCCAGCCUCACCUCCCAGUCCUGACCUGCCUGCCCCUGACAGUCCAGACCUACUGUGCAUGUCGCUGGGCUGCUGAGAAGCAUCUUGGGGUAUUUAGGCAAACUGUGCCCUGCCAGACCUUUUAGGUGUACAUGGGGCAUUUUCUUCCACCCCCCUCUCCUUUUCUUUCUCUCUCUUUUUGGUGAGCUCCUCUUCCCCUAGAAUCUAUAGAAAAGAAACCUUGAACUCGAAGCCUGACCUGCUUCCUUGCUUUGGUCUGCUGCCUUCCCUCUUCCCUUCAGCUCUGGGCUUUGUGCAGGGAGACAGUGACCCCAUGAACGUGCGUUUCCUGCCUGACAUCCUCUGUCCUAUUGGGAAGUCACUCCCACUCAUUGGAAGUCACUUAGCCCUAUUCCCUCUUCUUGGGCCCCCCGCAGGGCUCAAGAUAUUUCUCUGACAAGGCUGCUGAGUGAAUUGAUAAGUGAUUUGGAAACAGACAAGGCUAGGUGGCAAGGAAAAACACUACUCUCCCAUCUGUCACCCUCUUCCUAAAAGGCUACCGCUUGCCUGGUUUUGAGAACACUUCUGGGUCACCUGCUAAGUUGCUGAGACCACAGAAACUUCUCCUGAGUACAAGAGGAGGACUAAGCACAGGUCUACUUGACUCCAGAUUUCUUAAUCUCUAAGACGCGUCCACAGAAGUGAUAAGAAAAAAAAAGGACAUUGCAGAGGGCAAAGCCAAGAGGUUUGGAGAGUGGUGGAUAAGGAGCUACUCCAGGAAGCAGAACAAGGACUAAGUCAGAGCCCACUUUGCCACUCCUGUGAAGGUCAGAAGUGCCUGGCAAUUAACGGCUUAGCAGGAACAGCCCUCAACCAGUGACCGAUGGGUGAAUGAACACAGCAGCUCAAGUGGGACAGCCUUGAGGGCUGCAGUGGCACCUGCUAUAUGAGGCUGAGAGGAGAGGCUGCUCAGACGCAGAGAGCCCAGUUGAAAUCUACCCACACUUGCUAUUAAAUCACAAGCCGUCCACACAAAGAACAAAAUCCAACCAACAGCUACGGGGCUCCGUGAGGCAGUGGACACCAGUGCUGCAACCCUCAUGCCCCGAAAUGCACCUGACAUAUGGGACAUGGAUGGAGCUGGAAGCCACGAUCCUCAGCAAACUAACACAGGAAUACAAAACAAAACACCACAUGUCUCAUAAGUGGGAGCUGAAUAAUAAGAACACAUGGACACAGUGGAAACCACAAUAAAGGGUGUUGCCUGCAUUUUCCUCAUCAUUCCCUCUGCCUCCUGACUGACCCUGGUGCGUGACCAGUGGAAACCCCCACUCCUGGCACUUUAUGCCGUCCCAGUCUUGGGAACUGACUUGUGAGUAGAAAUGCCUUCUGGAGCACCCUCAUUCCAAUUGGAUGUGAGAAGAGGAAAACUCAUUCAGGCAUACAGAAGGACAAAGCUCUCAAAUUGGAGGGGCUGUGGCAUUCCACAUGCCACCCCUUGAAAAGAGUUUUAGUAUGGUCUUCCAAACCACUCUAUUGCCUCAUUUCAUCUCUCCAGGAGGGUCUGGGCCCAUCUUGACAGUAGCAAGAAAGCAUUCCCAGACAGCUUAUUACGAUGCAUAACAUUUGACUAACAUAAAUUCAAAGUCGAGCAAAUGAAGGCAAAAAGGCAGAAGGGAAGAGUGAAAAUGGACCCAGAAAUAGGGCGAAGCAUGUCUGCCACACUCGUCUACCUGCUGACCAUGGGUGAACCUCAUGGUGAGCUGUUGACCACAGGAUUCACCACAGAAUUCACUCUCCAGAAGACAAAAACUGCUGUGGAGAUUGGAAAAUUUAUCUUAAAAUAUUAAGGUCAGACAAGAACCUCUGUCAAGGAACAGGAAGUCGUGCCCUGAGGAGACAAGUAGAGGCUGUAGCCAUGGGUGGCUUUGGGGUAGUAGCUGUUGGCUGUGCCUAGAAGGACAUCAUGAAAGUUGUAAGUGCUGCUAAUUGACGUCCCCCAAUUCAUAUGCGGAAGUCCUGGCCCCUAGUACCUCAAGAUGUGCUUGGUUUUGGAGCUGGGGUCUUUAAAGAGUUUUGCAACUACAAAGGGCCCAGAGUUUCCCUUGUGAAUGAGCUCAGCAUCCUCACGUUUCCAAGAGGAAUCAACACUGCAAUUCCUCGGACCACGGUGGCUCUCUUCCCAGCACACCUUUGCUGUGACCUGCACCCCUGCAUUGUCCUCAAAGACACACUAAGAAAACACAUUUCAGAAGGAAGGACGUAACGGAGCUCAUGAUCCAGUUCUGCAUUUGGCGUGGCCCCAAAGACACUGUGUGCAGAGUCAGAAAUAUGCUCCCCAGUUGGACUCCAUGGGAUACUGUUUCAAAAGAGCUAUCAUUCUUGUCUGUUUACCACAUAUCUUGUUCUAAUAGGCUCUUCUUUUCCAGAGUUUUUUAUUUUCCCUGGCAUUUUGUGUUUUGGUAAUUGCCUACAAGAAUAGUUCUAUAACAGAAAUCAACAAUGAAAACCAAAUUACCCCUGCCCACAUCCUUUCAUUCCUUUUUCAUCUCUAAUGAUAUUUUCUGUAUGAUGACUAACCCAGACUGACGUAAUUUAUCAAUUGAUCUUGACGAUGUACAUUAGAAAAUGCAUUCUGCAGGCCCCAGCAGGCCAUCUUCCAUGUGCGCCACGUAGCUUUAGAAAACCUAUUAGUGCAACAGAAAUAUCUAAAGCCCAGCCUUUUUGCUAAGAAUAUUAGAACUGGUGCUAAUUACUUUAUUAAUCAUAAAGUGAAACAGCCGUGCUAUGUCACCACAGCCGUAAAAUAAGUGGUUUUAUGGCAAAAGUAGUUAAAGAGAAAGGACAGAUUGGAUUUAUAUACUCAGCUGGUUAAAAAAAAGAAAUUAUGCAUACCAGCAAUUUUCUUUCUUUGGUUAAAUGUUCAUUAAAUGUGUACCACUAAAAACCAUUUGUAACUAAUUCCCUAGUGGGUCCAUGCCUUAAAAUAAUUUAUUUUAAAAUACAAAUUAAGGCUUAAAUUUGCCUUUUUAUUAAAAAUAGGUAUAAUGAGUCAACAUAUCUCCUAAGAGAAAGGAGCGUUGCAGACAUGCUGAUGAGAGGAAUCUUGUCGCCAAAACCUGGAGGCCAUGCUGGUGUUGGGGACUUAGGCUAUCCUGCAGGUGCCUGUCACCAUUAAGGGCGGCAGAAUUCAGAGGCUUUGGUCCAGGUUAAAGCACAGAGGUGGCCACUGUCUGAAGACAGGGACACCACAAUGACCAUCAUUGAGGGCGAUGUUUAUGCUUCCAUUGUUAGUUUAGAUAUUUUGUUUUCUUUAAAGUCAGUAUUGUCUCUGAGUAAAUAAAAACAAUCUCCAGUUUCUGCAAGUAUGCUUGGCUUUCACACACUUUGCAAUUAAAAAAAACUAGGAUUCAUCAACAUUUCACUUUCUGUUACUGAUUAAAGCCACUUGUGUGUGUGUGUAUGUGUGUGUGUGUGUGCGUGGGCAUGUGUGCAUGUGAUUAGAUGGAAGAGAGAGCAUUAAUGUUUGUUAAGUGCUAAUACAUUUCAGACACUUUAUACAUUAAUCUAUUAAUGGCUAUCUCAUUUAAUAUUCAAAACAGAUGUGUUAUAGGUGGCCUAUCUCCUGUUUACAGAAAACCAAGGUGCAAUAAUCUCUCUCUGAAGGUAACUCUGUUGUGGCAGAUAUGGAAUCCUGACUCAAGACUGCCAGAUUCCAAAAUCCAUGCUCUUUAUCCUGUACCAGGGCAUUUCCAAUUAAAAUGCAAGACAAAAUUACUAAAUGCUGAGUGCAGGCUGAUUUCACAAAUCAAAAUGAUGAAGUAGAUAAUAUUGUCUCCAUUUUAGCACUGGACACUAAAAAGAGGGUAAGUUGUCAGGGUCACAUAGUUAGUGAGUGAAUUCCAACCCAAAUCCAUUAUGGGAGUCUAGGCCCCCUUGUCUAUGGUCUCAGUAUCCUCUUCCAUCAGAUAAUUUCCAGCCCUAGGAAUUUUCUUCUUGUAUUAAAUAUCUCCUGGCUCAAAGUUAAAUUCAUUUUCUUUUGCUUUGCCUUUUAUUUAUUUAUUUAUUUAUUUAUUUAUUUGAGACAAAAAUCUCUGUUGCCCAGGCUGGAGUGCAGUGGCACAAUCUCAGCUCACUGAAACCCCCACCUUCUGGGUUCAAGUGAUUCCCCUACCUCAGUCUCCCAAGUAGCUGGGAUUAUAGGCAUGUGCCAUCAUACCCAGCUAAUUUUUGUAUUUUUAGUAAAGACAGGGUUUCACCAUACUGGCCAUGCUGGUCUUGAACUCCUGACCUCAGAUGAUCCACCCACCUCAGCCUCCCAAAGUGCUGGGAUUACAGGCAUGAGCCGCCAUGCUCAGCCUGCUUUGCCUUUUGUGAUCAAAAGAAAAAAUACCACCAUCCUUCAGGUAAUCCUAUCAACAUAGUGUAAACUCUUCAAAUUACCCUUCAAUGGGUUAAACAAUCCCAAAUUACUAAGUUGUCUCUUGGUGAAGACAGUAUUCCUAGUUACUUCUGACCACACAGAAUCAAUACAAAGAAACCAGACCAAAGAAACUGCCUCUUAAAAUAGAACAUGCCAUCUUUUUAUGUCACAGCUGGGACUAGUAUUGUUUCCAACGAACAGAGUGUGGAAUUGAGGACUCAACUUAGGUGAAGCUCUGCUACGGAGUAGGCAACUAUCAGACGUUGGCUCUUUCCUCUCUCCUUGAUGGGCCCACUGGCCCAGGAUAUGAGGCCUGAGAGAUUCCUAUAGGAGGAGAGGAUGAAUAUUUUGACAAGCAGGUAACUUUAGAAAGAUGUAGGUAGCAGAUCUUAGGGAUUGGUGUUCUAGAACAGGGGUCCCCAGCCUUUUUGGCACUAGGGACCCAUUUCGUGGAAGACAAUUUUUCCAUGGAUGGGAGCAGGGAUGGUUUCGGGAUGAAACUGUUCCACCUCGGGUCAUAAGGCAUUAGUUAGAUUCUCACAAGGAGUGCUCAACCUAGAUCCCUCGCAGGCACAGUUCACAAUAGGGUUCAUGCUCCUGUGAGAAUCUAUAGCUGAUGCUGAUCUGACAGGAGGCGGAGCUCAGGUGGUAAUGCUCACUUGCCCGCUACUCACCUCCUGCUCUGUGACCUGGUUCCUAGCAGACCACGGACCAGCAUGGUUCCAUGGCCCAGAGGAUGGGGACCCCUGUUCUAGAGCAAAACUCCAAUUGGAAAGUAAGGCAAAGAGACCAAGACAGGAAUGUAGCAAUAACUCUGGAGUACAAGGUAGGGCAGAAAUUAAAGUACACAUUCAAGCAAGGAUUACUUUCUUAUUCCAUGCAUUACCAAGUCAUUUGGAUCCUUAACGUCCUAUAUGGAUGUGAUAGGUCCCAGGGCCUGGGUUAAGCUUGAGGCAGGACCAGCUGCUUAAUUUGUGGGCUGUAGUGCAAAAUGAAAUUGCAGGCACCUUAUUCAAAAGCUAGACAAAAGUGCUGUUAAAGGUUCCAAAAUAUUAAACUCUUUCUUUUCUUUCUGGUUUCUUUCCCUAUUAUGCUUUAAAAAUUUUUGCUAUUUGAUAUUGCACUCCCUCAGGCAUGGGGAUAUUUGCAAGGGUCAGUAUGGACUCUCACAAGUGCCUGGGGACCCCUAUUUGUGACUUUGCAGUGUUACCCACUAGCUUCCAGGACAGGACAUUCUCUGUCAGCCCCCAGAUUGAUGUUCUCUGCCCAGCCAGGUUAUGGGAGUCAGCCCUAACUCACAGAGGACUGGAGACUCUCAAGGGAUCGCAAUCUCAACACUGAGAAGUGGUUGGGACCUGGGUUGGGUAGGCAGAGGCUCACACCUGCCUGGAUGUGUACUGAACAGCCAUGGUACUGCCAGCCGGAGAUGAGGACAGCUGCCAGCCAGGGAUGGGGACAGCGACCACCAUGCCCUGCCCUGAGACACCCCUGAACCUUCCAGCAUCCUUGUCUGUGCACAGGUUCUCACUGGAGGCAGAGAGUGAUGAGAGAAUGACAGCUUGCACCCCGCCCCAUCCCCAGCCUAAGUGAGCUCACUGAUGCCCCAGGCAGUGGGCAGGAUCCCUUGUGGGGUGGGGUGGGGGAGGUGGGGCAAGGGCAGGGCACCAGGACCGGGAGGCAGUGAAGAACCCUUCCCAGGGAACAGGGAGAUUGUGGUGGUGGGGCCUGAGUGUGAAACAAGGCUCCCACAUCCUAGUGCAUUCUUCACUUUCCCGUCAGAAAUAGGAAUUCCAAGAUAAAAUUAAGAAUUUCAGGAUGGUGAUCUUAGGAGCUUCCCUUGCCAAGCCGGGAGUUCUGGACACCUGCACUGAUUUGUGACCUCAGCCAGCCUUGAUUUGAGGUGCAGCCUCAGUGGCUCUGGCAUAGAUAUCGGAAAACCACUGAGCUGGAACACCAGGCAGGUCACAGGGGUUUGAAUUUGUAAUUCAACAUUUCUAUUGAUACGUGCCUUUUAUAAAUGCUCCGUGGCCUUUUAAUAACUUGGUGUGUUAUCUUGCCCAGAGUUUUCGUUCACUAUUAAUACUGAUUCUGUCACUGUUGAGAUAUCUGACUCUGGACAGACUCUGCUCCUUGGCUUCCUCUUCUCUUUUAGUUCUUAUUCUUUGUGAUUCUGCAAACUUAGUUUUAAAGCCUCAUAUUGGAUAUUAAGACAAACGACAUCAUACAACGUAGUUCACCCUAUCCAUUGAUCUGUCUGGCUUCUGUGUUUAAACAAAAGGGACUGGCAGUCUUGCCAAAUCCCUCACUCACCCUAUGUUGUAUUUUAGAUCAUGUUUCAAGAAAGGGAGGCCCCUGUGUCCAGUUAUUGAUUAGCUGGGGAGGAAAAAAAUGGCUUUGCCUCAUUUCUUGUUAGGUAGCAAUCCACGUAUCUUUCCAGUAAGCAGCAUGACACUUCAGGGGGCUCUGGAAGACAUUUGACACUCUGGCGUCAGAGAGCCAAGGCCUGGGAGGUGUGUCCAGCAGUGUGUGUAUCCAGGAAGCAGCAGAGGAACACAGCAUCUGACAGUUCUGUCACUCCUGGCUGUGUGACUGCAGGCUAGUCACUUUCUGUCUCUGGGCUUCAGUUUUUCCAUCUUAAAAUAAAGAGAUUGGACUAGGUCAUCUCCAGGGUUUCAUCUGGCUCCAAAAUCUAAGAUUUUAUGACUGUGAAUCAACAACUUCCAUCUUCUCAGGGGCCUCCAGUCAAGUCAUUCUGGGGAUCACAGUCUUUCAUAAUCUCUGAAGCUUCAUUUCUCAAAACAGCUCAGAGCGGGCCUGUCAUGGUGGCUCACGCCUAUAAUCCCAGCACUUUGGAAGGGUGAGGUGGGUGGAUCACCUGAGGUCAGGAGUUCGAGACCAGCCUGGCCACCGUGGUGAAACCCCAUCUCUACUACAAAUACAAAAAAUUAUCUGGGUGUGGUGGCGGGCGCCUGUAAUCCCAGCUACUUUGGAGGCUGAGGCAGGAGAAUCACUUGAACCCUGGGAGGCAGAGGUUGCAGUGAACUGAGAUGGCGCCGUUGCACUCCA
rnacentral:lncRNA from 1 species